AAAAGUUGGUGAUGACAUUGCCAAGGCAACGGGUGACUGGAAGGGCCUGAGGAUUACAGUGAAACUGACCAUUCAGAACAGACAGGCCCAGAUUGAGGUGGUGCCUUCUGCCUCUGCCCUGAUCAUCAAAGCCCUCAAGGAACCACCAAGAGACAGAAAGAAACAGAAAAACAGUAAGUUGUCUUUUCCCUAGUUUGGUUUUGGUAAUGGUUUGUGAGAUGUUUGAUAUAUGUGGCUGUGUUUUCCCUUAAAGGAAACCUGGGGUUGACAUGGGUAUUGGGUGUUGAUAUGGUUAGGGCUGCUAGAGCCAGGUAGUAUGAAAAAGUGCCACGUAUGCUGGGUGG
rnacentral:lncRNA from 1 species